CGCAUGGUAGGAGAGCGUUCCGUAAGCCUGCGAAGGUGCCUUGUAAAGGGUGCUGGAGGUAUCGGAAGUGCGAAUGCUGACAUGAGUAGCGAUAAAGGGGGUGAAAGGCCCCCUCGCCGUAAGCCCAAGGUUUCCUACGCAACGUUCAUCGGCGUAGGGUGAGUCGGCCCCUAAGGCGAGGCAGAAAUGCGUAGCUGAUGGGAAGCAGGUCAAUAUUCCUGCACCGUCGUUAGAUGCGAUGGGGGGACGGAUCGCGGAAGGUUGUCCGGGUGUUGGAAGUCCCGGUCGCUGCAUUGGAGAAGGCGCUUAGGCAAAUCCGGGCGCAGGAUUCAAGGGUGUGGCGCGAGCGCUCUAGGGCGCGAAGCAAUUGGAAGUGGUUCCAAGAAAAGCCUCUAAGCUUCAGUCUAACGAUGACCGUACCGCAAACCGACACAGGUGGGCGAGAUGAGUAUUCUAAGGCGCUUGAGAGAACUCGGGAGAAGGAACUCGGCAAAUUGGUACCGUAACUUCGGGAUAAGGUACGCCCUUGUAGCUUGACUGGCCUGCGCCAGGAGGGUGAAGGGGUUGCAAUAAACUGGUGGCUGCGACUGUUUAAUAAAAACACAGCACUCUGCAAACACGAAAGUGGACGUAUAGGGUGUGACGCCUGCCCGGUGCCGGAAGAUUAAAUGAUGGGGUGCAAGCUCUUGAUUGAAGUCCCGGUAAACGGCGGCCGUAACUAUAACGGUCCUAAGGUAGCGAAAUUCCUUGUCGGGUAAGUUCCGACCUGCACGAAUGGCGUAACGAUGGCCACACUGUCUCCUCCCGAGACUCAGCGAAGUUGAAGUGUUUGUGAUGAUGCAAUCUACCCGCGGCUAGACGGAAAGACCCCAUGAACCUUUACUGUAGCUUUGCAUUGGACUUUGAACCGAUCUGUGUAGGAUAGGUGGGAGGCUAUGAAACCGGAACGCCAGUUUCGGUGGAGCCGUCCUUGAAAUACCACCCUGGUUUGUUUGAGGUUCUAACCUUGGCCCGUGAUCCGGGUCGGGGACAGUGCAUGGUAGGCAGUUUGACUGGGGCGGUCUCCUCCCAAAGCGUAACGGAGGAGUACGAAGGUACGCUAGGUACGGUCGGAAAUCGUGCUGAUAGUGCAAUGGCAUAAGCGUGCUUAACUGCGAGACCGACAAGUCGAGCAGGUGCGAAAGCAGGUCAUAGUGAUCCGGUGGUUCUGUAUGGAAGGGCCAUCGCUCAACGGAUAAAAGGUACUCUGGGGAUAACAGGCUGAUACCGCCCAAGAGUUCAUAUCGACGGCGGUGUUUGGCACCUCGAUGUCGGCUCAUCUCAUCCUGGGGCUGUAGCCGGUCCCAAGGGUAUGGCUGUUCGCCAUUUAAAGAGGUACGUGAGCUGGGUUUAAAACGUCGUGAGACAGUUUGGUCCCUAUCUGCCGUGGGCGUUGGAUAUUUGAAGGGGGCUGCUCCUAGUACGAGAGGACCGGAGUGGACGAACCUCUGGUGUACCGGUUGUGACGCCAGUCGCAUCGCCGGGUAGCUAUGUUCGGAAGAGAUAACCGCUGAAAGCAUCUAAGCGGGAAACUCGCCUUAAGAUGAGAUAUCCCUGGAGGCUUGACCUCCUUGAAGGGUCGUUCGAGACCAGGACGUUGAUAGGUCAGGUGUGUAAGCGCAGUAAUGCGUUCAGCUAACUGAUACUAAUUGCCCGUAAGGCUUGAUCCUAUAACA
rnacentral:rRNA from 1 species